rnacentral:tRNA from 1 species
GGUCCGAUGGUGUAGUUGGUUAUCACGUCAGUCUAACACACUGAAGGUCUCCAGUUCAAGCCUGGAUCGGAUCA